UACGCCCCUGCGCCGCCCCGCGCAGCCUGAGGGUGGGUGAGACACGUGGGUGCGUGAAGCAAGCCCGUAAGAUGCUGGAAAGACUCUUAAGGGUUAUGUACAGUAGUCACUGUUUCCCUGCUUGUGGGCAUCAGCUCGGGGGUGCCAGGGAACCCACCGGGCCGGAGGCCCCUGCGGGGCUUGCAGGAGCCAGCAAAACUCGAGGCUCAGAAGCUUCUGGGCCCCCAAAAAAGAAGAGAAAGAAAGCGCAGAAGAAAUCUUGGGAGAGGGAGGCGAAGGCUGUGGAGCCAAAAGCCCAACCCCUAGGGGAGAAGUCUCCAGCAGCUUCCAAGGCCAGAAACCCAGCAGCAGCCACGGAGGAAGAGGCCUUCACCUCCACAGGAUCUCCUGCAGACGUCGAGCUCGCAGAGUCCGAGUCUUUGUUUGCCCUGGAUGUUCUGCGGCAGCGGCUACGUGAGAAAAUACAGGAGGCCCAGGGCCAGGGCAGCACCUCGGAGCCGUCUCCCGCGGCUCUGGAGAAAAGACGCCGGAGGAAGCAGGAGCGGGACCGCAAGAAGAGGAAGCGGAAGGAACUGAGGGCGAAGGAGAAGGUGGCAAAGGCCACGGAGGCUGUCGAGCCGCCCCGCGAGGCGCCCCGCGAGCCACCCCGAGAGGAGGCACAGCUGGGGCUGCUCUUCAAUAAGGUGGAGGUGAGCGCGGGGGAGCCGGCCGGCAAGGCCCAGCGCCGGAAGGAGAAGAGGCAGAAGCUGAAGGGGAAGCUGACGCCGCUGACGGGGAAGAACUACCGGCAGCUGCUGGAGCGCCUGCAGGCACGGCAGGGUCGGCUGGCCGAGCUGCGGGACCAGGACGAGGGGAAGGCGCGGGAGCUGGAGACCAAGAUGCAGUGGACCAACCUGCUGUACAAGGCCGAGGGCGUGCGGAUCCGGGACGACGAGCGCCUGCUGCAGGAGGCCCUGAAGCGCAAGGAGAAGCGGCGGGCGCAGCGGAAGCGCAGGUGGGAGAAACGCACGGCCCACGUGGUCGAGAAAAUGCAGCAGCGGCAGGACAAGCGGCGACAGAAUCUGCGCAAGAAGAAGGCGGCCCGGGCCGAGCGGCGUCUGGACAGGGCUCGCAGGAAGGGCCGCAUCCUGCCCCAGGACCUGGAGCGGGCUGGCCUGGCGUGAGGACCCGGGCCGCGUCCCUGACCGGGGGCUGGGGUGGCGCCGGGCGGGGCUCGGUCGGCGCUGUCUGGGCCCCUGGGCACGCGGGCUCCGUGGGCUCAGCUCGCGUGUGGAAGGGACGGUGUCCGGAAUGGAGGUCCACGUCUUUUGGACCCCGUAAACUUAAAACGUACCCAGCGGACUGUAACGGAAAGGCUGGCGUGGCCGAAGCGGACAAAGCUGACUUGACAACGAACGGCACCGUGAGGAGUAAAGAACGCCCGCCCCCGCCCCCCGGUGGAGGGGUUCUGUGCUCCCAGCAGGCAGAGCGGCUCUGACGACCCCGGGACCGGAGCCUUGCGUCUGCCCAGAGCGGGAGAUUUCUGAUUCCUUUCCUAGGCCUGGAGACACCAGGCAGAAGUCUGGUGGACGUAGAAGGUCCGGAGGAGAGUCACGAGCUCGAUUUGGCAACACAGAACGGCGCGUCUGGAAACACACGCUUUGCGCGUCUCUGAAGCAGCAAUGAGAACUGAGCAUCUGGUCUAUGAAGGACGUUUUCGUUUCAAGGAGUCAGACCAGGUGUGGUGUCCGGCCACGGCAGGGUUUCGUCGUCAAGGUCAAGAGGUGGUCAGAGUUUCACGUUUGGAAUUUU